UGCUACGUCAAGUGAAUUGCAUCACCGAAGUCUUUACAGAGUACCCGUGUCCUUAGCUAGACAUAAGUAAAAUCUCAGGGAAGGUCUUCCUAGUGAUUUCCAUGACAAAUGGACGUAACCCCGAGCAACGCGGCAGAGAAGCGUUCGCAAAGCUCCACGAACGAACGAAUCCCACGAGGAGGCGAGAAGGAGAAGCGCGCAGCAAUCUUCAAAGCGCAGUUUAAGUCCGUCAUUCAGAUCUAGAGUCCACGUGUCUACCUGUCAAAGCCCCGGGCCCGCCCUAACGAGGCCCGGCUGCGCUAACGAGGCAACGACCGCCAGGUGCCGGCCACAGCUGCGCCUCGUCCGGAGCUCAGCGCACGGCCCGCCCCAAAGCCUCUUAAGCUCCUCCGGGGGCUGCCGGGAGCCACGGAGGUGCUCGGGGCAGUUCCUAGUCGCGUGUGCCGGAGCCGGGCUGCAGAGCGGCAUAAAGGUUCGCCCCAACCGCUGAGCCGUGCUGAUCGUAAUGGGACCCCGGAGGCGGCGGGCGCUCGGCAGUCCUCGGGGGCUCUUCGUUCGGGGAGCAGGAUCUCACUCCCAUCGUGAGGACACAGUGGGACAGCUCGCGUGACUGAAAUGCUGUUCUGGAUGGUUGUGUUCUUUUUCAGCGUGACAAACGAUCGCGGUGCUGGAGUGGCCACUCAGGUGAGAGAGCUGGAUUGAGCCCUGCCUAGGGAUGAGUGAAGAAGAGGAGAGCACUCGGGUGAGACUUAAUAGGCAGCUAUCAGCCCUGAGACUGCAGAAACCGCUCCUUGAGAAUCCCGGAUCCCAGAGGAAAGAGGCCUUGAGGAAGGAUGACUUCUCGAUUGCGGAGGAGCAAAGAUUUGUGAGGAUGGGAGGAUAGCCAGCUUUUCCGCAGCCUUCAAGGAGGGCAAGGAGGUUGGUCUCAUCUCCGUGCCUGGACCAACUUGUUCCGGAUGUCGUCUCCAAGCAACUUGAAGAGGUUUCUGUGGGGUACUAAAGGUGGAUUCACCACGGGGAAAUCAGGCCAGACUGACAUGGGAGCCUUCCAUGUUGUUGCGACCGUCUCCACAGAUCAGAGAAGAGCAGUGAGCUGGAUGAAGAGAGAGGGAGGUGAUGAUGCAACGCUGGGAGGAGCAGCUGACAGCUGGACUGCGUGAACUUCAAGGAGAGCAGGUCAAGAAGAUGAGAAACUUGCACAGAGCGCAGCAGUGCAGCCAAGAAGAUGAGGGGGCCUGGAGCACCUCCCUUCUGAGGAAAGGGUGUUCAACAAAGUAUGGCUGUGUCAGCAGGAGAAGGGAAGGGUGAAGGCUGCAGAGAACUUCUGCAAGGAGCGGCCUGAACAUGAGGUUACAUGAGAGGUGGUGUUUCAAGGGCAGUGCCUGCAGUGGAUAUGCAGCAGCCCUUGUUGUGGAGUUUGAAGUUUUCUGGAGAGGCUGGUUGCAAUUGUUGAUGGGGAGCUGUACUGUAGUCAAGGUGAAGUGCAACUGACUGCAUAGGUAUGUGGUUUCUGAAUUUGUUUUUAAGUGUGUAGGAGCCACUUCUGUCAGAAGUGGCUGGUUUUUGUUGUUUUUAGGGGGCUGUUGGCUGGGGAUUGCACUAUCUCAAAGAGAUUAUA